UAUAGGGCAAAUAUAUUUUUAUAUAUUUUAUUUGGACGGGAAAUUAGUCCCAAAACUUGAAUCAUUUGGAGUUCAAAAUUUUCUGGAAUUUAUUUGGAUCAAUUUGGAGUUCAAAAUCAAAAGAUAUCAAAGAAAUCAGAAAAAGGAAAAAGAAAAGAACAAAAAAAAAGAAAAACCGGACCGGCCCGGCCAAAUGGGCCGAACCAACCCGGUCCCGACCGCGCGCGAACCGACCGAGCCGGGCCCGCGCCACGCGCGCCCACCGCGAGCCACUGACAGGUGGGGCGCGCCCAUCACGCCGGCGACGCCGCCC
rnacentral:lncRNA from 1 species